UUAAAUUGAAGAGUUUGAUCAUGGCUCAGAUUGAACGCUGGCGGCAGGCCUAACACAUGCAAGUCGAACGGUAACAGGAAGCAGCUUGCUGCUUCGCUGACGAGUGGCGGACGGGUGAGUAAUGUCUGGGAAACUGCCUGAUGGAGGGGGAUAACUACUGGAAACGGUGGCUAAUACCGCAUAACGUCGCAAGACCAAAGAGGGGGACCUUCGGGCCUCUUGCCAUCAGAUGUGCCCAGAUGGGAUUAGCUAGUUGGUGAGGUAACGGCUCACCAAGGCGACGAUCCCUAGCUGGUCUGAGAGGAUGACCAGCCACACUGGAACUGAGACACGGUCCAGACUCCUACGGGAGGCAGCAGUGGGGAAUAUUGCACAAUGGGCGCAAGCCUGAUGCAGCCAUGCCGCGUGUAUGAAGAAGGCCUUCGGGUUGUAAAGUACUUUCAGCAGGGAGGAAGGUGUUGUGGUUAAUAACCGCAGCAAUUGACGUUACCCGCAGAAGAAGCACCGGCUAACUCCGUGCCAGCAGCCGCGGUAAUACGGAGGGUGCAAGCGUUAAUCGGAAUUACUGGGCGUAAAGCGCACGCAGGCGGUCUGUCAAGUCGGAUGUGAAAUCCCCGGGCUCAACCUGGGAACUGCAUUCGAAACUGGCAGGCUUGAGUCUUGUAGAGGGGGGUAGAAUUCCAGGUGUAGCGGUGAAAUGCGUAGAGAUCUGGAGGAAUACCGGUGGCGAAGGCGGCCCCCUGGACAAAGACUGACGCUCAGGUGCGAAAGCGUGGGGAGCAAACAGGAUUAGAUACCCUGGUAGUCCACGCCGUAAACGAUGUCUACUUGGAGGUUGUGCCCUUGAGGCGUGGCUUCCGGAGCUAACGCGUUAAGUAGACCGCCUGGGGAGUACGGCCGCAAGGUUAAAACUCAAAUGAAUUGACGGGGGCCCGCACAAGCGGUGGAGCAUGUGGUUUAAUUCGAUGCAACGCGAAGAACCUUACCUGGUCUUGACAUCCACAGAACUUUCCAGAGAUGGAUUGGUGCCUUCGGGAACUGUGAGACAGGUGCUGCAUGGCUGUCGUCAGCUCGUGUUGUGAAAUGUUGGGUUAAGUCCCGCAACGAGCGCAACCCUUAUCCUUUGUUGCCAGCGAUUAGGUCGGGAACUCAAAGGAGACUGCCAGUGAUAAACUGGAGGAAGGUGGGGAUGACGUCAAGUCAUCAUGGCCCUUACGACCAGGGCUACACACGUGCUACAAUGGCGCAUACAAAGAGAAGCGACCUCGCGAGAGCAAGCGGACCUCAUAAAGUGCGUCGUAGUCCGGAUUGGAGUCUGCAACUCGACUCCAUGAAGUCGGAAUCGCUAGUAAUCGUGGAUCAGAAUGCCACGGUGAAUACGUUCCCGGGCCUUGUACACACCGCCCGUCACACCAUGGGAGUGGGUUGCAAAAGAAGUAGGUAGCUUAACCUUCGGGAGGGCGCUUACCACUUUGUGAUUCAUGACUGGGGUGAAGUCGUAACAAGGUAACCGUAGGGGAACCUGCGGUUGGAUCACCUCCUUACCUUAAAGAA
rnacentral:rRNA from 3 species